CACGUAGGGCGCAAGCGUUGUCCGGAAUUAUUGGGCGUAAAGAGCUCGUAGGUGGUCUGUUGCGUCUGCUGUGAAAACUCGGGGCUUAACCCCGAGCCGUGCAGUGGAUACGGGCAGACUAGAGGUAGGUAGGGGAGAAUGGAAUUCCCGGUGUAGCGGUGAAAUGCGCAGAUAUCGGGAGGAACACCGGUGGCGAAGGCGGUUCUCUGGGCCUUACCCUGACGCGAGGAGCGAAAGCGUGGGGAGCGAACAGGAUAGAA
rnacentral:rRNA from 1 species